UAAUCUGACAACCACAUGGACACAGCGUCCCAUGAACUGCAUGAGUCUAUAGAUUGGUGCUUUUUAUCCAGGUCAUCCUCGCUGCACAGCGCUGACACUCGCUAACGGGCAUUGCUCCCAAUGUUUACUUCUCCGGCAUGUCUUCUCCAGGCAGGGAAAGUAAUGCCUCGGUUUAUUGAAGAUAUUUUUUUAUAAGGAACAGAUUGGAAAGCCACGAUGUUUGUACGACAUAUAUUCAAAUUGCUGUCCGGCUAAUGCACUAGCUACCAGCAGUUAGGGCAGCUUCCUCCGUGUGGCGGCGAGCUGUUGUCGACAGAUCCUCUCCGGCUCCAUGAUGGCGAUGUUUCGGAGCUUUGUCUCGGCGAGCACCCAACUCCGCCAGCAGCAGCAGCCCAACAGCGGCUCGGGCUCCUUGGCAGCCCCGGCUGAGGGCAUCGAGAGCCAGUUCUCCUGUCCCAUCUGCCUGGAGGUCUACCAUAAACCCGUCAGCAUCGCCAGCUGUGCUCACACGUUCUGUGGGGAGUGUCUGCAGCCAUGUCUUCAGGUGACCUCACCCCUCUGCCCUCUCUGUCGGGUGCCCUUUGACCCCAAGAAAGUGGAGCGCUCGUCCAGUGUGGAGAAGCAGCUGGCCUCAUUCAAAGCACCUUGCAGGGGCUGUAACAAGAAGGUGGCUCUGGUAAAGAUGAGGUCCCACAUUGCUUCCUGUUCUAAAGUACAAGAACAGAUAGCCAACUGUCCUAAGUUUGUACCUGUGGUGCCCACCUCUCAACCCAUACCAAGCAAUAUUCCAAACCGGUCAACGUUUGUGUGUCCAUUCUGUGGGGCCAGAAACCUGGACCAGCAGGAGCUGGUGAAGCACUGUAUGGACAACCAUCGUAAUGACCCUAAUAAAGUGGUUCCCUUGGAAUACUGCAUCAGAGGUGUGUCCAGUGUGUUCAGCCAUGCCGUGGGGAGACCCUAGCUAUAAGAGCUCCAACUUCCUCCAGCACCUCCUCCACAGACACAAGUUCUCUUAUGACACCUUUGUUGACUACAGCAUUGAUGAAGAAGCAGCACUGCAGGCAGCUCUGGCACUGUCACUGGCCGAAAACUGACACUAAUCACACCACACCAUCCCUCUCACUCCUCUGACUGCUGUUACCCUCUUCCCUCUGCACUAUUGUGGUUCCUCCACGGCUCAGAAGGCCAACAUCAUCCAGCCAACAGACACACCUGACCCAGCCAGGGUCACAGUCUCUACAGAGAUCCACAUCACAGAGAUGUCCAGCUGGCUUCACUUCCCUCUCACGUUGAGGACUUUCUUCCUGGUGUGCAGUACAGCCUGUUUGCCUCGCUGCAGCAUGGAAGUAGGAUAUGUCUUCACUUUGAUUUGAUGACUUGAAGACAAAACAUCCUGUGGGCUUGGAAUAGACCCAGUGACUGUAUCAACGUUUAAAAUACCAACCUACAGUUUGCAAACAGUCCAUCCACUCACUGCUUUAGUUCAUCUGACAGCUGCCAUCUGGACCACCACAGCAUGAAGGGCUACCUCCAUGGAAAAAUGUGAAACAUCCUGAAGCCUGCCACCUCUAAAACCCUCAUCACAGACCACUAGUCACUUGUUAUUAAGUCCUGAUUGCUGGUGCUCACUGUGAGUAACUUAUUCUACAGAUUCUUCUGCAGUGAUGUAGUUGGUUUGAUAAGUUAACAUACAGUAACUGGCACGCACGCUAAUUAGGAAAUAUUUUGCAAAUGAAAUGUAAGUAAAUCAAAUCAAAAGCUCCUCUAUUCAUCUCCACAAUUGGAUGCAACAGCUGUAGUGUGUGUGGUGUGUCAUAUUUUGCACUUACCAGACAAAACAAAAGUCACAUGAGUUAGAAAGGCAGGCUCGCUGACUGUAUACACCACAGAAGGGUUUGUUAUGUUGCUUAGCGGUUUAAGAACGACUGAGCUGCUUGUGGUGUGGCUGCAUGGUAACACACGGCAUGGGUAUAUCCAAGACAUCUUCUUAUGGUCAUGGUCAGUAGGUUCAAGGUGAGGAUCCCCCUUUAGAUGGCACCACACCAUCAUGCAUGGAGAGGUGAAAAUUGCAUUGAUUACCAAGUAACAUUAUCUGGCCUUCUAGUUUCACUGUGGUGACCUGGUUGAGUGUGGUAUGAAUAUUCUGCCUGCACUGUGCAAGCUUGACAUUGCACUUGCUACACAUUCUACAUUGUUUAGAGGCACUCUGGACAGCACACACAGACCAUAGACUGUAUAUAUAGAUGGACGAAGCCAAAAACUGAAGCCAAAAUAUCCUGGUUAUGGCCGAUGCCAUCUUGCGCUGGUGACGUCAUUUGGAGGCAGAGUCUGCACAGUAGCAAUCUCAGUGCUGUAUAAUUUACACCCUAACUCCUGUUUGACCAAUCAUGAGCAUCGCCAUUGUCGUGAGCGCACUGAUCGGCACACAUAGCUGUCAAUCACAAUGUCAAACCCCCUUUUCAUAGCAUCAAAUAAAUAAUUAAAGCCAAACUUUAUCAGAAAAACAAACACUUGACCAUCAGCAUGAUAAGUGCUUAAGUGCUUAAAAUGACAGAAAUCAUCUUUUGUAAGAAUAUAUUUUACAUGUUCUUUAAUGUUUUUGUUUGGCCCAUGUCCCAUCCUCUGACAUGGAGGGGGCGGGGUUUAUGACCUAUACUGCAGCCAGCCACCAGGGUAUAUUUUCAUACAUACCGUCUUCAUCUUUUUCAUACAGUCUGUGGCACAGACUGACAGUUGUCCUUGUUAUAUAUUUAGAAAAAAUAUGAUAAAUAGUGUUGGGUAGCUAAAGUAAAAUGUAUGUUACUGUAUGAUACAUUUGAGGAUACCUGGAUAAAGCCAUUAUGUAUAAAUAUGAUACUGGCAGAGAGAUGAUAACAGUUAAAAUAGAAAGUAUCAUAGUAAAAAUAGCUAUGUUUAUCUAAAACAAGCUUCCUGUUAAAGAGUAACUUCUGCAUUUUUCAACCUGGAUCACUUUUUCUCAUGUUUUUGUGUCUUAGUGACUGCUGUCAUCAACAAUUUUUGAAAUUGGUCCAGUAUUGACAGAGAGGGGUGCAGCCGGCAGCUGCGCAACAGCUGUUAUGUAAACAGAUGGGGCAACCAGCACUGUAUGUCCAUUAUAACUUCUUGUUUUUUUUUUCCACAUCAGGCACUUUGACUCAAAACACGGGAACAUAGUGGCCAGGCUGGAAAAUGCCAAAGUUGCCCCUCAAGUUACUGAACAGGAUGCUCAUGAUAUGAGUAGAAAUCCAUUAUACAGGCUGAAGAUUUUAUAUUUAAAUUUUGUAUGCACACAAUGGAAUUUUUUUUCUAAUAAACCACUAAAGAAACAAAAUACACAUAUCUUAAAUGAUGGACUGAAAUGACUCCUCAGACUUCUGUCAGCAGGUGGAGGUAAAGAUGAGUUAGUCUGGAGGCUGAUGGAUCUCAGUGGUGAGGACACCCCACCUAGCUCACUAUUCUCACUGAGCUUCACCUUUUCUGAUCCACUACUGCCACAGUACACCACUGUGAAACUAAAGGCCUCUGUCUCUCUCAGCAACUGGUCUCACUUUCACAUUAUGCUUGCCACUGCAUGGAAAAUAACCAUCCAGAGGCCAAGUCAAUUACAAAAUGCAUCAGCACAAUAUUUCUAUAAACAUUUAGUAUGCAGACACCCAGUGUGGUAUGGACAUAAUGGUACCCACAUCUGCUUUCUGGCCUUUUAGCUUGCCUCUCAGUAGUACAGUCUAUAACCCAAACACACACACUGUUUUAAAAGCUUCACUUUGGUCAGGGGUCAGCAACCUUUACUAUCAAAAGAGCCAUUUCUGUCACCCCUGAUAACUAAAUUUGCCUAAAGUGUGCUAUUUUUUCAUUUGGUACUUGAACCUGCCAGUGUUGACGGUGAAAGCAAGCAAAUCUGUCCACACACUAUUAAAUUCUCCAAGGCCUCUUUUUUUGGAUUUGGAAUCCAUGGCUAGCCUAGCUAGGGAGAAUAAAGACUAGCGACUGCUAAUGAGGUUUAGCAAAUUGAAGUUGACAAAAUGUUUUUUAGGGAUGCACCGAUUUAGUGGCUGCACACCAGUAUCAGCCUAUAUUCCCCUUGUUAACCUCCAUCGGUCUAUUGGCAAAUAAGAUGGGAUUCACUGAUAGCAGUGGCUGAUGUUUUCCUGUAAUUUUACAUACAUUUUGCACAGGCUAAAAAGUAGGGCCCCAGUCUAAUGGCGUCCCCUCAUCCUGGGGACGAAAGAAAACGUGUUUUGGACUAACAUAGAUCUUCCCCAGGAUGCUGUCGGGACAAAAGUACGCAGCAGACUCACUAUAGUCACAUCAGGGGAAACAUCCUAUUGUUUCUGUGAUAAUGUUGUGAAUAACAAGUCUGUGCUAGAAUCAGCAGGCGGAGAGCUAGUUAACGUUAGCUGUCAGCAGCUGGUGGCCUCAACUAACAGUUCACAGAGGUUGCACUGAGUUACAUCAUGAUGCGCUUAAGCUCUGUUCACUAAAAAUGAGUAUUUGGUGAAGGGAAAUCAUAACAUUCUUAUGUGUUAAAUGUAAUCAUGUAAAAUGUAGUUUUUGUUGAGAAACUUGGAUAAAUACAGCUGUUUAAAGGAGAAAUGUGUUGAUAUUUUCAUAGUGAUAUAAAAUAGAUAUAAGAGAGGGAAUUAUGAUAUAUUAUAGUAGUAUAUUAUAAUAGUAAAAAUGCUUUUGAAGAAGUUUUUAAAAAAUGUUUUUCAUGUCAAAUGUUACUUUAUAUGUUGUUUCAUAAAACAACACCAGCAGCAACAACAACAUUGGUAUUGGUAAUCACCCAAAUUGUCAUUUUAAACAUCGGUGCAUCCCUAAGUUUUUUAUUCUGUGUAUAGGCUACACACUUUUACAGUUGGACAAUGUAAGAAUCACUUGAGGCCUGCAACAACAAUAAAUAAAAAUUAAAAAAUAACUGCUAUUCAUUUCCAUAAACCAGCAAUUUCUUGUCAAAGCCACUAGAGAGGCUAAAGGAGGUGUGUGGCUCCAGAGCUGCAGAUUGCCUUCCUCUGAUCUUGAAGAAUCUAGUUUUUUAUACUAAUCUAUAACCGUUGUGAAAGAUUGAAUUCAACAUUUAGGGCACUUCAGCCUCAGUGUCAGUGGACUGCAAUAGUUGGCGUCAGGAGCUGCAAAUACGUUGCGGCCUCAUUGACAGAGAGAGCCCAAAUAUGGACAUGAUGAAGUUAACAGAGCUGUCAGAGACAGACCAGGCCAGUUGACAUCCAGACCUGUGGGUGGUCUGUCCUGUUUACAGUGAUGCUGAACUAGUUCCAAAUGUUUAGAUAAUUAAUUGGUAUUUGAAUUCUGACAUGGCAACACCAAAAGAAAACCUCACAGGCAGACAUCUGAUACAAAUCAGCUGUAACUUCUUCAUUACUGUCCAUCCCAGCUGCUCUGAAGACAACAGGAGUGACAUAAAGAGGACGCUUCACACACUGCUUCAUGUGCUAUUGCAUCAAAGUGCGCCAUGAAUCAAUCAUGUCCGUAACAGCUAAGAAUGCCAACAGUCCCAAGGUUACGAUAAGAGCACCCACUUCACUACCACCUUUAAUUUCUGACCUGACCUUUAGUCAGAAAGUUCCUAUUUUUUAUUUAUGUUAAUAUUUGCACUUAUCAACAUUAUUUUCUACCAGAAUGAUCUAGAUAUAGAUAUUAGUUGUAAAAAAAAAAAAAAAAAAUUAAAGGAUGGAAGUGCUGGAUGGAGGUCAGACAUCCAUCUCACUGCAAUCUACUUCUUCAACCCUCACUCCAAGUAAUAUUUUUAUGAUCCAUCGGCCAAGAUAGAAGAGUAUAAAAAGAUAUAUUUUUGGAAAAUGUUUCAAACCAUCGGACUAUUAUCAGACAUGAUCAUCAGAUGUGUCUGCAACCUUAGGGGACAAUGAUGUUGAUCUUCAAACUUGAAUUGCUGUUAACACACAUUCACACAGAGGAGACCUGCACAGGACCUGAGAGGAUGGGACUGGUCUAACACAGAUGGUAAUGUGACCAAUAGAUGGCAGUCCCUCUCCAGACAUGCAGAGCAUAGAGAGCCAUACUAAAACCAAGACUGGCUGUGGAGAAAAUUAAAGGCAGAACUUUGGUAGUGUUCCCACAGAAGAAGGCAUUCAUCAUUUGCACUUUAAUUCAUUCAGUUUUACAAUAAUCGUCUGAAUUUUAUUUGUAUAACCUAACUCUUGUUUAUGAUUUUGCAGUUAAAUUUGAUCACAAAAUGAGUGUUUUGUUAUAAAAAAGUUGACAGAGAUCUUGCAAAUUGUAAAAGGUGUCUGGGGUUCCAAGUUAUUUGAUAAAAAAUAGUUUUGUUUGUGUGGCAAAACAUUCAAAUAUUUGUUGACUGAAUACUUAAUUUCAAUGGGUAGCAUGUGCCAUUUCUUUCCUCCAACAAUCUUUUUAUGGGCAAAAUCAUAUGAAUUGACUGAGAAUGCUCUUUAUACACCACCAGAGCCAACAUGCACCCAAAAGGAGCAGUUCUACAGAGGAGUAAGGCCAUGUGAAGAAAAAUAAAUCAUGUAGUGAAUGUUAAAGGUUUAUUUACAUAAGCUGAUGAGUUGGUUGUGUUAGGGUUAAAAAUGCUUUGAAUUGUGUAGAUUUAAAUUAUUUAAAACUGGGUUUAAUUACCUUUAGAGUCCAUUUUUGUUUGGUUUUCUGGCAUUUGCAUAUUUUAAGUGCCAUGCCAGAUAUAUCAGAACAUAAAGAAUAAGAGUUUCCAAGUUGUAAUUACAACUUUGAUGUUAAUGUCAUUACUUCGUCUGAAACUCAACAUUAUCUCAAAAUUCUGUCUGCAUCAAAGCAGAGUCAGAGUAGAAUUAAAGGUGUGUUUGGACUGAAUGUGAAGCCGAUUUUUCUUUGCAUUAAUGGGUUAUUAGAGUGUAUUUGUAAUCCUGUAUUUUAUUGAUAUUAGCUGUACUUAUGCAAAUUAUGCAUGGCAGCAUGCCCGUGCUUGUGUGUAGUCAGACUCACUGUAUGUAGACUGCGAGCCUGCCACUGGCCAGUUAUUUAGGCCGGCAUUCUCCCUCCUUUCUGCUUUCUGCGUGUUCCAAAUCCCCUUACCUACAGAAAAUAAUAACACCCUCCGAGCUAACAACCUAGACGAUGAAAAUGGCAAGUUAAGAUGAAGACUUGGAUAAUAAGGCAUGCCUGCUUUGCCUGAAUUGUUAAAAAAUAACUACAACAAAUAAAACAGCCUGUGAACGUACCUCAGAAAAGCCCAGACUGUUUCUCGCUGGACUAUCAUGCCCAAUGUUGAUCUUUUUACUGACACGACCAGUUGAAGUUGAUUUGCUACAUCUUUCAAAACGUCUCCAGUCAAACAGAUACCUGAAUAUAAUCCUUUUUUGUACCAGGAGUCUGAUCUUGGACCAUCCCAACUCCCCACUGGACCAGCAAACUUUCUGUUGCCACUGUCAGCGGAGCAACUCUGCCAUUACAUAGGCUGCCCGAUUAGCAUGAUCACUAACACUCAACACUGAGCUGAUAAACGGUGCCAAUAAACUCAUACUUAUACCAAACGCAGCUGCCCAGGAUGAUUGUGAUUGGUUUAGAGAAACAAAAACAAACCAGGUCGGUAAUGCUCCAGGGCAGAAUGGUAAUAUGGUGAUUCCAGACCUUUCUCAAGCACUAUGGAGAAAGUUCUGGCUACGUGACACUAGCUUCUGUCUAAUGUCAGAAUUCAUCAGGAUUCAAUUCUGUCUGUAAUUUUCCACCAGACUCCUCCCUAUGUGUCUUGUCUCUGUACAUCCACAAAUUCUAGUUAAAAAAACCCCCAGAUCUUUCUAUGUGAUCUCACAUUUUUGCACUGACUUCAAAAGCAGAUGUGCCACCUCUAAAAUCAGCCUCAGGUUCAGCCUGAACACACCUUUACAUAUUGAUGAAUUCUUAUGGAACAGUUACAAUGACUGUGUGUCUUAAACAAUCCAACCCUUCCUCUUCGAAAUUCAAAGUCAUCAGAAAGUUCCAAAAACAGAUAGCUUGUACUUUUAGCAUGUGAACAUUGAAAAGAUUGUUCUCUCAACUCAUGUUUCCUGUGUCAGUAUUCCUCUCAUAUAAAAGCAUAUCUUGCUCAAAAUAUAAAAAUGGAAAUCUUUCACAUAAAUGAAAGCUAUUUUUAUAUUUCAGUCCUCAGCAUACACAGCUAUUUCUUCUGUUUAUGUUUUUUUUAUAUUCAUGUUAUAAUAGCAGUCUUUUAUAAAUGUUUGUUACCUUCGUACCUCUGUAGCAGGAUUCUUAGAUUCUACUUUUGUUACGAUUUGUGUACUCCAUGUUUAUCUGCUUCUUUCUGAGCCUCAGUUUCCCCAGCAAUUGUAAAUAAUCUCCUUUUAAUCCCUG